rnacentral:tRNA from 1 species
GUUUUUAUAGUGUAACAAACACAUUACAUUUUCAUUGUAAAACUAAAGGUCCCAAUCCUUUUUUAAACA